GACCUCUCCGGUGGACUAGUGGUUAAAGCGUCCGCCUCGGAUGCGGGUGAUCGUGGGUUCGAUCCCCAGCUGAGUCA